AGAGGAACUCGUAGAACACGUCGCAGUGUUAGAAGAGGAACUAGCAUCAAACGUUCCAGAUCUGUUCGAAGACCAAAUGUUCCGCAGAUUACGGUCGAUGUUGAAAAAGGAACAAUUGUUACACGGAAGCCGAACAAUAUUAAUACAAUACUGCUUAAUGGGUAUAGACGAUUCCUUCUUCUGCUUGGUAUACAAUCUUCUUCGGCCGAAGUUAAACAGACGGUUACUACAAUAGAACCAGCUGUUCUGGAGGAACUGGAAGCUCCUCAAAGAUACAGACCUGAGAACAUUAACUCACUUUGUGAAGCUACUGGG